rnacentral:misc_RNA from 1 species
GUUCUCUUCUCCUCUUCAGCAGCAGCCAUAGCAAUAACAGAAAAUCCAUUCUUUCUUGUUUUCUGAGAUAACCCUAAGCUUCUAGAACCAUUAACAGAGAACACUCGUGAACUACCAAAGAAUUCAGACAUGGAAGCAGAAGCAAGUGACUGUAGUUUAACACAUCGAUUCCUCCUAGAAGAAGUGACCCUGUUAGAAACGGGUACGGGUCUUUUAGACCCAUUAAAGUUACAAAGUGAAGAAGCAGCAGAUGACAUUCUUGUCACUGACUCUGCUGCCAUUUCUUUUUCUCCUCCUCUGUU